CUCUUAUCAAGAGAGGUGGAGGGAAUGGGCCCUGUGAAACCCGGCAACCUGUAGAAAUACGUGGUGCCAAUUCCUGCAGCAGCGCUGCAAGAUAAGAG
rnacentral:ncRNA from 2 species